CACAUUUGCAGCUGUAUAUCAGUUUACUCAACAAAAUCUUCCGGCAUGUAAACCUGUCCUGACACCAGCAUGGGUUAUUUCAAUGUUUUUCUUGAUAGGCGUCAUUUUUAUUCCAAUUGGACUUCUCUGUCUUCAUGCUUCUGAAAGUGUUGUUGAGAUUGUUGACAGAUAUGAUACAGAUUGUGUGCCAGAUCAUCUCAAGGGCCAAAAAGUUGCUUACAUCAAAGAUAGCUCAGUUUCAAAGAAUUGUACCCGAUACUUAAAGGUGAUAUUUCAU